rnacentral:rRNA from 1 species
GAUGAACGCUAGCUACAGGCUUAACACAUGCAAGUCGAGGGGCAGCAUGACCUAGCAAUAGGUUGAUGGCGACCGGCGCACGGGUGAGUAACACGUAUCCAACCUGCCGAUUAUUCCGGGAUAGCCUUUCGAAAGAAAGAUUAAUACUGGAUAGCAUAACGAGAAGGCAUCUUCUUGUUAUUAAAGAAUUUCGAUAAUCGAUGGGGAUGCGUUCCAUUAGUUUGUUGGCGGGGUAACGGCCCACCAAGACAUCGAUGGAUAGGGGUUCUGAGAGGAAGGUCCCCCACAUUGGAACUGAGACACGGUCCAAACUCCUACGGGAGGCAGCAGUGAGGAAUAUUGAUCAAUGGACGAGAGUCUGAACCAGCCAAGUAGCGUGAAGGAUGACUGCCCUAUGGGUUGUAAACUUCUUUUAUAUGGGAAGAAAGUGGGCCACGUGUGGCUUUUUGUAUGUACCAUACGAAUAAGGAUCGGCUAACUCCGUG